AGCAGCCGCGGUAAUUCCAGCUCCAAUAGCGUAUAUUAAAGUUGUUGCAGUUAAAAAGCUCGUAGUUGAAUUUCGGGAUCAAUUUGCUGGUCGUGCCUUCGGUACGCACUGGUAUUAUUGGUUUCUCCUUUCUGAUGAAUCGCGAUGUCAUUAAUUUGGUGUCGUGGGGAAUCAGGACCGUUACUUUGAAAAAUUAGAGUGUUUAAAGCAGGCUCACGCUUGAAUACAUUAGCAUGGAAUAAUGAAAUAGGACGUUUGAUUCUAUUUUGUUGGUUUCUAGGAUCGACGUAAUGAUUAAUAGGGAUAGUUGGGGGCAUUAGUAUUCAAUUGUCAGAGGUGAAAUUCUUGGAUUUAUUGAAGACUAACUACUGCGAAAGCAUUUGCCAAGGGUGUUUUCAUUAAUCAAGAACGAAAGUUAGGGGAUCGAAGACGAUCAGAUACCGUCGUAGUCUUAACCAUAAACUAUGCCGACUAGGGAUCGGAUGAUGUUAAUUUUUAAUGACUCAUUCGGCGCCUUAAC
rnacentral:rRNA from 1 species